ensembl:lncRNA
CUGUUGAAUUCUCUCUGCAUGCAGUGUCAGUGUUGUUUCCAUGGCUGAUGGCAGUGGUGUCAUUUGGAAACUACUAAACUUUGUUUUUGCCAUGGGGAGCAUUUGGUGGUGUACAGCAUGAUCAGAAAGGAUCUGAGCACAAGGCCCUGGAGGGAUCUGGAUAUCAGCUAUACUGUUUCUCAGGAACACUAAUAACCAAUUGCAGAGGGAGAGUUUGUGGAGCCAGCGCACCGAUGAACUGAGAAGAACCUCUCCUUAUAUGCCCCCCCAAAAGCCCCUCGGGGUCAGGGGAGCUUAAAACCCUUCCUCCUGUGGAAGCAUCUGGUUCAUCUUAUAGAAGAUCAACAAGAAGAGCAGAUAUCUAUUAACUUUGGCCCUAUAUAAGGUUGGGAUGUGACCUGACCUUGAGCAGAAGGGGGUAUCAGAAGAAACCAGGAAAGGUGUCUGCCACCACUUUUUCAUCAUCCUUGACAAUAAUUCCAUACCUUGCAGGUCAACCUCUUCUCUUGCUGCUUUUGAUAAACUGUUCAAGGCACAUUUUGUGUUUGU